AGAACUUAAAUCAGAGGGAAAUAAAUUCUAGGCUUUGAAAGCCCCUGGAAGAGUAAGUCCCCUCAGGCCCAGGAAAAGAUGAAGAGGAUACCCAGCGCAGAGGGAGGCGAUCCUAGACACAACCUUUUGUCUGCAGGUUAUCAAGACUGUGUCCUAGAUUCCAAGGUGACAGUGCCACAGUGUCCUGGUGACCAAUUUUCUAUUUCUUCAUCUUCCUUCCAUGGUGGAGAUAUGCCCAUUGAGGAUAAAAUAAGAACUAAGGAGACAGCCCGCAUCACACAACAUUUCACUCAGCUGUGUCGCUGAGCACUGACAAACUCAAUUUACGAAAGGCAAGAGUGAGUUGACACCAUGCUGUGGCAGUUGUCCUGAUGGGAGGAAACGACUCAUUUCCUUCCAAGGUAGAACCCACCUUCUCUGAGAAGCAAGCUUAUGCACAAGAGUAUUGAAGACAAGGAGAAACUGUACAGAAGAAGAUGCAGGAGGUCCGAAGGGAAGUCAGAGACAAAAGCAGGAAGGAAGGAAGCAAGCACUGCUCAUGAAUGGUAUGGAACCUGGGCCCCAAGGCUUCUCUGAGGGAU